rnacentral:rRNA from 1 species
UACACACCGCCCGUCACGCCAUGGAAGCUGGGGGGACCUGAAGCCGGUGGGCUAACCGCAAGGAGGCAGUCGUCAAAGGUCAAUUCAGUGACUGGGGCG